rnacentral:lncRNA from 1 species
GGUUUCUAGAGCAUUCCAUCUCCCUGCUGUGGUCCCACUCUCUUACAAUUAGGCUUGAUUUCCAAACUGUCAUGGGUUUGAUAUUCACCAAGAGAAAGCAAAUACAUAUUUGGCACAUUAAUAAUAUUUAACAACAAUGAAUUAUGGUUACAUAUAGAAAUAAUUUAUGUUCUGAACAAAUGUUUAUGCUUCUGUAAAAAAUAAAAUGGAAAAUAUUCUGUAUCAGACACUACAUCUUCACCAUAGACUUGUCACGAUCUAGGUCAGUGUUUUCAUUUGAGAAUAGAAACCUACUGGUAAAUCAUAAAAUCAGUUUAAUGGUUAUAAUUUACAUUAAAAAAUAGAAAAGGUGCUCCCUUUGGCAGCACAUAUACUAAAAUUGGAAUGACACAGCAAAGAUUAGCAUGGCCCCUGUAAGAAAAAAAUAGAAAAGAGUAGAAUUUGAAAAUAUCAUUGUGCAGUGCAUGUAGGUAAGUACUGUUUCAUGAAAUAUUAGUCUCAUUUCUAUAAUAUGUGUGUGUCCUAGGUUGAGAUUAAAAUGUAUAUUUUACUGUAGGUGGAGAAGGGAAAAAAAAAGUUUGAAAGUUGCUGACUUUGCCCCCUGUGAUCAAGUGAUGCUCAAAAUAUUUCACAACUGGUAAUGCUUAGUCAUAGCCCAGUCAGAAUGAAAGCUGGCUGCGAUAUUGGAAUCCUGCUAUGCCAGGGGUUACUCCUUUUAUGCUAGACUGAGGGUCCUAAGGGAAGGGUCAGGAUGGCCGAGGCACUAGGGGGAGUUGGUGCAGUGACUUUAUGGGUGUAUCAGUUUUCUAUUGCUGCAGUAACAAAUUACAACAAACUUAGUGGUUUAAAAUAACAUUAAUUUAUUAUCUUACGGUUCUUUAAGUCAGAAGUCAGGCACAGGUCUCACUGAUCUAAAAUGAAGGUGUUGACAUGGCUGUAUUACUUUUCAGGUGCGCUGAAGAAGAAUAGGUUUCCUUGCCUUGUUCAGCUUCUAGAAUUUGCCCACAUUCUUUGAUUCAUGGUCCAUUUCCUCUGUCUUCAAAGCCAGCAACAUUGCAUCUCCCUCUGAUCCUUUUCCCAUAGUCACAUCACUCCCUCUGACUGCAGCUGGGAAAGGUCCUCCACUUUGAAGGAUCCUUGUAAUUAGAUUGGGCCCACCUGGAUAAUCCAGAGUACUCUCUCCAUUUCAAUAUCCUUAACCUUAACCCCAUUUGCAAAGUCCCUUUUGCCAUGUAAAGGAACAUUUUCACAGAUUCCAGAGGAUUAGGGAAUGGGCAUUUUUGGAGGCCACGAUUCUGCAUAUCACAAUGGGUAUGGAAAAGUUUCAUUAUCUGAACAAUCAGCACAACCACACCUGUGCAUCCUGCCACAGUGGAACUGAAAACAGGUCACCUGUGAAAUCACCCAUUUGGAGUCUCCAUUGCAGCAUUCCAUGAAUGUGUCUUGAAUGUUUGCCCUAUCCCUUCUAAGAGGAGAGAGGGGAAAGUUUACGCUUCACAAAUAUAACUCAAUCCAUUGCUUUCACAUCUCCAGUAUUUUCCUAGAAG